AUGCUCCCCCUUUUCUCCUUUCAGACCCGGUUUUCCACGCGGACCCUGAAGAAUGACCAGAUUCUCCAAUCUCACCCUAAGAGGACGAAAAAUACCAUGAAAUACUGCAAAUACCACACGCUGCAUGUCCAGUGUUACCAGGAGGCCCCUGAGAUUGUAAAGCAGAGAAAUAGGAAGAGAUGUAAAGAAAAGGAGAACCAGGAGGUCCAGUUCUACCCGGUCUUCCUGGUAAACCCGGAAUACCAUCUGUUCCGGGAAGACCCUGAUGAAUGCAAAGUGGGAAUGAUACAGACAAAAAAAAUAUAUAUAUAUAUAUUAUAUAAUAUACACAAAAACACAGAAAUUGUUUGA
ensembl:lncRNA